GGAGCCUGAUGCAGCGACGCCGCGUGAGGGAUGACGGCCUUCGGGUUGUAAACCUCUUUCAGCAGGGACGAAGCGUAAGUGACGGUACCUGCAGAAGAAGCACCGGCCAACUACGUGCCAGCAGCCGCGGUAAGACGUAGGGUGCGAGCGUUGUCCGGAUUUAUUGGGCGUAAAGAGCUCGUAGGCGGCUUGUCGCGUCGACCGUGAAAACUUGGGGCUCAACCCCAAGCCUGCGGUCGAUACGGGCAGGCUAGAGUUCGGUAGGGGAGACUGGAAUUCCUGGUGUAGCGGUGAAAUGCGCAGAUAUCAGGAGGAACACCGGUGGCGAAGGCGGGUCUCUGGGCCGAUACUGACGCUGAGGAGCGAAAGCGUGGGGAGCGAACAGGAUUAGAUACCCUGGUAGUCCACGCUGUAAACGUUGGGCGCUAGGUGUGGGGGGCCUCUCCGGUUCUCUGUGCCGCAGCUAACGCAUUAAGCGCCCCGCCUGGGGAGUACGGCCGCAAGGCUAAAACUCAAAGGAAUUGACGGGGGCCCGCACAAGCGGCGGAGCAUGCGGAUUAAUUCGAUGCAACGCGAAGAACCUUACCUGGGUUUGACAUGGCCGCAAAACUUGCAGAGAUGUAAGGUCCUUCGGGGGC
rnacentral:rRNA from 1 species